rnacentral:rRNA from 1 species
UACGUAGGGUGCGAGCGUUAAUCGGAAUUACUGGGCGUAAAGCGUGCGCAGGUGGUCAUGCAAGACAGAUGUGAAAUCCCCGGGCUUAACCUGGGAACUGCAUUUGUGACUGCACGGCUAGAGUGCGGCAGAGGGGGAUGGAAUUCCGCGUGUAGCAGUGAAAUGCGUAGAUAUGCGGAGGAACAUCGAUGGCGAAGGCAAUCCCCUGGGCCUGCACUGACGCUCAUGCACGAAAGCGUGGGGAGCAAACAGG